rnacentral:rRNA from 1 species
UACGUAGGGUGCAAGCGUUGUCCGGAAUUAUUGGGCGUAAAGAGCUCGUAGGCGGUCUGUCGCGUCGGAUGUGAAAAUCCAGGGCUCAACCCUGGACCUGCAUUCGAUACGGGCAGACUAGAGUUCGGUAGGGGAGACUGGAAUUCCUGGUGUAGCGGUGAAAUGCGCAGAUAUCAGGAGGAAUACCGGUGGCGAAGGCGGGCUGCCUGGGCCAACUGACGCUGAGAGUAACGAAGCGUGGGGAGCAAACAGG